CAUCGAAAGAGACCAACGAGGAGUCGAGAGAGACAGAGACAGAGACAACAAUGGCACCUUCGUCGUCGAGCGGUUUGACCUUCAAGCUCCACCCUCUAGUAAUCGUCAACAUAUCGGAUCACUACACCAGGGUUAAGACUCAGCUCAACCCUCCGCCUUCAGUCUGCGCCACCGAGAACAACGGCGAAGCAAUGCUGCAGCCGAACCCUAGGGUUUACGGAUGCGUGAUCGGCGUCCAGAGAGGCCGAACUGUCGAGAUCUUCAACAGCUUCGAGCUUUUGUUCGAUCCUUCCUCUGAAACCCUCGAUAGGUCCUUCCUCGAGAAGAAGCAAGAGCUCUGUAAGCUCUCUCUCUCUCCCUCUCUCUCUUCUUCUUUUGUCUGGGUUUUGAUUGAUUCUUCUUGUUUUUUUUAAUCAGACAAGAAAGUGUUCCCUGACUUCUAUGUUUUGGGAUGGUACUCUACGGGGAAUGACGCUGAGGAGUCUGAUAUGCUUAUCCAUAAAGCCGUGAGUUUUCAAAGUGUUUUUUUUUUUUUUGUAGGAUUAAGAUUUGAUCAGUUAUUUAUUUAUUUAUUUUUUAUUGUUAAAGUUCAACUUUUUCAUAAGAGGUGUUAUACGGUGAGAAGAUUAUUAGAACUAGUGUUUUUUGUUUGGAAUUCGAAUAUGGUGGGUUGCUUCUGGUCAAAGAGAUCACCACCCGUAUAUAAUUCAAAUAGGUACAGUGACUUAUAUCUCUACGUUUUAUGUAAUUUGAAUAAGAGUUUUUAUUACUCUUCUUACAUACUAACUGACACACUUUUCUCCCUUGAAAAUUUUUCUAGUGUUGUUAUCAAUGCUGAAUUGAAGAUCGGGAUGCAUUGUAAGAACUGCGCAAAACGUGUCAGAGAAGUAGUUUUCUACUUGAAUGGCAAGAAAUAAGAUUUUUUGUUCACAAUAUACAUUUACUCAGUUGAUGGUAAUUAUAUAGUGUUGACGUUAUAAUAAUCGCUUUAUUGAUAUGUUAUAAUAUAUUAGGAGUUCGACAAUGUGAUGUGCAUCUAGAUACUCAAAAGGUUAUGGUCGCUGGUGAUUUUAAUUUAGAUGAGGUGGUGGAAACUGUUAAGAGAAAACUUGGUAAAAGAGCAGAAGUUUUGACAUCGACUAAGAAAUCUGAUGUAGUUUCAAAUGAAGAUGGUGAAUUUGAAAUAGUUCCAGAAAAAAAUGAAGAAGCUGAAAUAGUUCUGGAGAAGAAUGAAGAACCUAAAUUAAUUCCAGAGAAAAAUGAAGGACCUGAAAUAGUUCUAGAGAAGAAUGAAGAAUCUAAUAUAGGCCUUCAAAAGGAAGCAAAUCCCAAUGGAUGCACUAUCCAGUAAAUCUAGUCGAAACAUGUAAUCACCAUAAAGAACUUGGCAUGGUGAUAUGGACCUUGUCGAUCUUGAGAAGGUUUAAGUGUUUGAUUCACCGUGUUAUAUAUAAUAAGACAAAUGGAACAUGAUUUCUUUUUUAUUACUUCUUUAGUAUUUUUUAUUAAUGAUGCAAUUAGAAGAUUUCAUUGUCAGUAUAGUGUGAUUUAGUUUGAGUGGACAGAAAAGUCAUCAUCAUUAAAAAGCAUUCUAAAAAAAGUGUGGAAAGAAUCUCAUAUAAGAAAUUAUGACAUAUAGUAGAUAAUGUAAGAAUGGUUAGCAAUCAUUAAAGAUGGGUUAUUUUAUUUCGAUGAGUUAUUAUUAAAAUUGAAGCACAAAUAUAGAUUUGUCUAUAUCAAAUAUGAAUUUAGAGGUAAGAGCUAAUUUGUGACUACCAAAACUAUCAAGGGGGUUACACCAAAUGUGAGAUCAGUUGCUCCUAGUAUUUAUGUCAUUGUAUUAGAUAUUUUGAUUUCUCAAUUAAAUAGAUCUAUGAGUAUAACUGAAGAGGGAGAUGGACGAUACAUAGAUAAGAAGAGGUGAAGAGACAAUUGCAUUUCAAAAACUUAUUGCAACUCACAAAACCAAACCUACAAGAGGACAAUGCAUGUGGUACAAAGAAGUGAAACAAUCACGCACACCGGUAGAGACUAUGGUAAUGCAUCAAAAACCGACCAAAAAAUUGUCAACAAUAUAAUAUGUGUCCCAUAAGUCUUGAAGAAAAGAUCAAUUUUAAUCCAUAACAUAACUCAGCUUCCCGAUGAAGCAAUGAUAUUACAAAGAAGGAGAACGUAAAAACACGAUAGUUAGAGAAGUCAUACUGUUGACCUUCCAAUCCGGUUAAACACAAAGAAAAAUCAUGUAAAUAACAUUGAAACUUACGUCAACACAGAAGCACCAUCACCAUCAAUGUAACUAUCAGAUUUGAGCUAAUAGCCUUGAAAUCAAACAUAUCGAAAAAUGAAAAGGUAAAAUUUGAAAGGAUUGGCUUUGAAAGCUGUCAGUCACUGGUCCUUCAAUCAGAGAUGAAAGAAAAAAGAACUUACCGGCUAGUGUUUAUGGAGAGAAAUCCAAUGAAAUAAAAAGAAAAAAAAAAAUCAUGGAAAGUAUAGAGACCUAUUAACUUCGACCACGUGGGUAAGCUCGGCCCGUACAGUAAACCCGAUAACCAUUUCUUUAGCCGGUUCGAUAUCUCCUGAACCUGAUCUAGGAUCCGAAUUUAGACCGGGUCUAAAACCAAUAAUAAUUUCAUCGAAAGAGACCAACGAGGAGUCGAGAGAGACAGAGACAGAGACAACAAUGGCACCUUCGUCGUCGAGCGGUUUGACCUUCAAGCUCCACCCUCUAGUAAUCGUCAACAUAUCGGAUCACUACACCAGGGUUAAGACUCAGCUCAACCCUCCGCCUUCAGUCUGCGCCACCGAGAACAACGGCGAAGCAAUGCUGCAGCCG
rnacentral:lncRNA from 1 species